AAGGCAGUUAUUAUUUGGAGAAUGAGAGUCUCCUGUGUCGCACACGGCUCCAGCGCUCUCUGCUGAGUCUGAAGAUGCAAAGGGAAAUGUCUUCUUUCAUUCACCACCCACAGAGAACACUAAAGCAGGCCUGUGAUCUAUCAAUUCUUCCACCCCACCUGAAAGAGCAGGAGAAUACAGCCAUCACUGCUGCACAAGUUUGGAAUGCACAUGGGAAAAUAUUGCCAGUUGGAGACUUUAUUGCUUAACAGAAAUGGUUCCCAGUUCCACAGCUAGCUAUGACCUAUGAGGAGAUCCUUGUUGUCAUGCAUUGCAAGAGGGGAAAAAACUCGACUGUAUAUGGAUGACUUCUGUAAUUAUUUGAAUGCGAUUCAAAUGGAAACCAUGGCAGAAUUUUCUCAGCGUGACUGUGGAAGAAUUCUGUGGUUCUGUGUUUCACGUUCAAGCCUGUGAUCUACUGUGAUCUACUGCUGAGAAGAGGAGAAAUCAGCUCAACAGCCAUAUCCAGCCACAGCACCUAUGCAUCAUGACAAUUACCAGUGUGAUAUGCUGUGGAAGUCAGAAGUGGUACCUCCCAGUUGCUUUUCUCCUCCCAUACCUUACAUGGGUCAAGGGAUGACUUCAGUCUGUCUGUCUUGCACUACAGCUGCUUUAUGCACUAAGCUAACUCACUGACCCUGAGCAGUGUUUUCGUUGUAAAAUUCCAAUGUGGGGGUUAUUCAGAAAGUCAUGUUAAUCCUCUUGACAGAUUAUUAAACUGUCAAUUUGGCUGCAGGGUUAGGUCCUAUAGUUCCAAAAACCUGAAACUGAAGCAAGAGAAUCAAUCACCUGAGCAUAAGAACUGAAGACCAUCCUGGGUGUCAUACAACAUUACACUUCAGAAAAUGAAUAUAUUCGAUUUUAAGUGUCU